GGAUGUGAGGAUGAUCUGGCUGUGACAUCUGUCACCCCAUUGAUCACCAGGGUUGAUUCCGCUGAUCUGGCUGGCUAGACAGGUGUCCCCUUCCUCUCUCACUGCUCCAUGUGCAUGCCUCCCGAAGUUGCACACUCAGUUGAAGAGGAUGACCUUCCAGGCUAGGGGAGGAUCAUUCUUCAGUCAAUGGUAUAUAAGUAGUUGUGCUCCCCUGUUAGAACCUCCAAACAAGCUCUCAAUAAGUAGGGAGUGACACACGGAGAUAGGUCCCUCCAGGU
rnacentral:snRNA from 1 species